AUGGGAGAUACCAGUAGGUAUUCCAGUAUUGAGAAAUUGUGUGAAAGUAUGCAGCGUAUGAUUUCACAGCUGAUGGAGCAGGCACAAACAAAAACAAGCAGUACUUUUGAAAUUUUGAAGACCCUGGAACCCAAUCCUGUCAAGUUAACUGGCCCGGGUGAUUUUUUUAGCUGGUCUCGGAAUGCUACUUUGAUUCUAGAGUCACACAGACUUCAGAAAUUUUUGAAGGAAGAUGAGAAAAAGCCAACAGAUGUCACACAAGAGCAGUGGGAUCAGAAUCAAAAGCGAGUUAUGGUAUGUCUGUUGGGGUCGAUGGAGAAGACCGUGAGGGAACAGGUUGAAGGGUUUCAGUCUGCAGCUGAGGUGUGGACGAGCAUUGAGAAACAGUUCUCAGGGAAAUCGAACAAGAUGCAAGUCAGUAGGAUUUUCCAUGAAUUAAGGAAGAUCAAGCAAGAGCAGAAGACAGUGACCGAAUUUGCGGGAGAAAUCAAGAAACUCUAUAGAGACCUGGAGUAUUUUAGACCAUUUAAGGCACAUGAUCCCAGGGACGUACCCCUCCUUCGAGAGUGGUUUGAGCCAUUGUUGGUUCAGACUUUUCUUGAUGGUUUGAACUCAGAGUUCAAUCUCCGUUCCCAGCUCAUACAAGCCACACCAGAUUGGCCUACAUUGGAUCAGGCCAUCUCUAGUAUACUGGAGGAAGAAACACGGUUGGCCAAUCAGAUCACAACUUCACAAACAAAUGUUGAUGGCAGAGCUGCACUAUCUUCGGUUAAGCAAAUUCAGUCUCCUGGUACUUCCAGAAAUGAGCAAGCAAAUGCUACUAGAUUCGACUACACAAGGAAGCCUAAGAUGGUGUGUGACCACUGUAAAAAACCAGGCCAUUUGAAGAAGAGUUGUUUUGAUAUAGUUGGUUACCCUCCUGGAUGGCAAUCGAAACAAUUUAACAGAUUCACCAGUGGUGGUAGUAAUGCAAAAAGGCCAGAUCGAGCUCAUCUUACUUUAUUUGGGGGAGAGCAGUCUGCGGCAGCAGCCCAAGCACUUGAAGAAUUUAAAAGCAAACUUAUGGCGAAUACUUCACAAGGCCCUGCUGAAACAACAUCUGAUGCUCAUUCUGGGAAAGGAUCCGAAGACAAGAAGAAAUCUUGGGACUGGGAUUGA
rnacentral:rRNA from 1 species